GAGGAAUAUUGGUCAAUGGACGCAAGUCUGAACCAGCCAAGUAGCGUGAAGGAUGACUGCCCUAUGGGUUGUAAACUUCUUUUAUAUGGGAAUAAAGUGCGCCACGUGUGGUGUUUUGUAUGUACCAUUAUGAAUAAGCAUCGGCUAACUCCGUGCCAGCAGCCGCGGUAAUACGGAGGAUGCGAGCGUUAUCCGGAUUUAUUGGGUUUAAAGGGAGCGUAGGUGGGCUGGUAAGUCAGCUGUGAAAGUUUGCGGCUCAACCGUAAAAUUGCAGUUGAUACUGUCAGUCUUGAGUACAGUAGAGGUUAGCGGAAUUCGUGGUGUAGCGGUGAAAUGCUUAGAUAUCACGAAGAACUCCAAUUGCGAAGGCAGCUGACUAGACUGUUACUGACACUGAUGCUCGAAAGUGUGGGUAUCAAAC
rnacentral:rRNA from 1 species